rnacentral:rRNA from 1 species
UACGUAGGACCCGAGCGUUGUCCGGAUUUACUGGGUGUAAAGGGCGUGUAGGUGGGCGCUUAAGUCGAUGGUGAAAUCCUGCGGCUCAACCGUAGAAUUGCCGUCGAUACUGGGCGUCUUGAGUGCGGCAGAGGGAGAUGGAAUUCAUGGUGUAGCGGUGAAAUGUGUAGAUAUCAUGAAGAACACCGGUAGCGAAGGCGGUCUCCUGGUCCGUGACUGACACUGAGGCGCGAAAGCGUGGGGAGCAAACAG